rnacentral:siRNA from 1 species
CUUAAUGCUAGUUCUAGAGUAAGU